GAUGAACGCUGGCGGCGUGCCUAAUACAUGCAAGUCGAGCGAACGGACGAGAAGCUUGCUUCUCUGAUGUUAGCGGCGGACGGGUGAGUAACACGUGGAUAACCUACCUAUAAGACUGGGAUAACUUCGGGAAACCGGAGCUAAUACCGGAUAAUAUUUUGAACCGCAUGGUUCAAAAGUGAAAGACGGUCUUGCUGUCACUUAUAGAUGGAUCCGCGCUGCAUUAGCUAGUUGGUAAGGUAACGGCUUACCAAGGCAACGAUGCAUAGCCGACCUGAGAGGGUGAUCGGACACACUGGAACUGAGACACGGUCCAGACUCCGACGGGAGGCAGCAGUAGGGACUCUUCCGCAAUGGGCGAAAGCCUGACGGAGCAACGCCGCGGGAGUGAUGAAGGUCUCCGGAUCGUAAAACUCUGUUAUUAGGGAAGAACAUAUGUGUAAGUAACUGUGCACAUAUUGACGGUACCUAAUCAGAAAGCCACGGCUAACUACGUG
rnacentral:rRNA from 1 species